GAUGAACGCUGGCGGCGUGCUUAACACAUGCAAGUCGAACGAAGCACCUUGAUUUGAUUCUUCGGAUGAAGAUCUUGGUGACUGAGUGGCGGACGGGUGAGUAACGCGUGGGUAACCUGCCUCAUACAGGGGGAUAACAGUUAGAAAUGACUGCUAAUACCUCAUAAGACCACAGCACCGCAUGGUGCAGGGGUAAAAACUCCGGUGGUAUGAGAUGGACCCGCGUCUGAUUAGGUAGUUGGUGGGGUAACGGCCUACCAAGCCGACGAUCAGUAGCCGACCUGAGAGGGUGACCGGCCACAUUGGGACUGAGACACGGCCCAAACUCCUACGGGAGGCAGCAGUGGGGAAUAUUGCACAAUGGGGGAAACCCUGAUGCAGCGACGCCGCGUGAGCGAUGAAGUAUUUCGGUAUGUAAAGCUCUAUCAGCAGGGAAGAAAAUGACGGUACCUGACUAAGAAGCACCGGCUAAAUACGUG
rnacentral:rRNA from 1 species